rnacentral:rRNA from 1 species
UACGUAGGGUGCAAGCGUUGCCCGGAAUUAUUGGGCGUAAAGAGCUCGUAGGCGGUCUGUUGCGUCGGCUGUGAAAACCCGGGGCUCAACCCCGGGCCUGCAUUCGAUACGGGCAGACUAGAGUGCGGUAGGGGAGACUGGAAUUCCUGGUGUAGCGGUGAAAUGCGCAGAUAUCAGGAGGAACACCGGUGGCGAAGGCGGGUCUCUGGGCCGUAACUGACGCUGAGGAGCGAAAGCGUGGGGAGCGAACAGG